AUAUAUAAACGACAAUUGAUCAUCAUAUUUAACGAGUGAGAUGAAAU
rnacentral:guide_RNA from 1 species